rnacentral:tRNA from 1 species
UCUAAGAGUGGCAGAAAAUUGCCAUGAACUUAAAAUUCAUUCAUAAAAAAAAAUUUCCUUAGAA